CUUUUUUGCAAGACCAUGAGGGAUCAAAAACUAAAUUCUUUAACUUGUUCAGGGAAUUUAGCACAGGGAACUCUGCUCAAUGUUAUGUGGCAACGUGGAUGGGAGGGGAGUUUGGGGGAGAAUGGAUACAUGUAUGGCUGAGUCCCUUUGUUGCCCAUCUGAAACUGUCACAACAUGGUUAACUGGGUAUAUCCCAAUACAAAAUAAAAAGUUAAAUAUAAAACAGUAAUGUCGGGACUUCCCUGGAGGCUUGGUAGUAAAGAAUCCAUCUACAAAUGCAAGAGACUUUCUGGGAAGAACCCACAUGCUGCGGAGCGACUAAAGCUGUGCCAUAACCACUGAGCCUGUGCUCUGGAGCCCAGGAACUGCAACUACUGGGCCUGCUGGCCCUGGAACCUGUGCUCAGCAGCAAAAGAAGCCACUGAAGUGAGAAACCCAUGAGCCGCAGCUGGAGAGUAGUCCCCACUCGACUCAACUAGAGAAAGGCCUGUUCAGCAGUGAAGACCCAGCACAGCUGAAAAUACAAAAUUUUUAAAAGCAUCGACAACCUGUUAGGCGGAAGCUGACUUCAGAGUCCUCCUUCCAGCCUCCCUGGUGCCAACUUUCCUGAGUGUUUACCUGCUCAACAACUGGUCAAGAAACAUGUUUAUAUACUUACUAUGGCAUUUUUAGCCUUUUUACAGCAGGAGAUCCAGAGGACCUUGUAUACCAGACUACAUGAAAUGGUGCUCUUGUUUUUAUUUUGAAACGUUUUUUCUUCCUGUUUACAAAAUUGUGUUCAUUAUAGAAAGUCACAGUAAAAAAAGAAAAAAGCCAAAGAAUAAAUUUAAAAAUUGGCCACAAUCUCAUUCCUCAGAAAUAAAAAUUUAGCAUUUUAUUACUUUAACUUCCUACACCUAUAAUUUUUAAAAUAAAAUGACCAGAAGAUAACCAUCUUAGUUUAUAUUAGAUUAUAUUUUUAAAAUAUUCCCUACAGAGGCUCUUUUAGAUUGCUCUGAUUUAAUGUUACGAUUUGUGCUUCUAUUGUGGGCAUAAGAAAAGAU
ensembl:lncRNA